rnacentral:rRNA from 1 species
UACGGGGGGGGUAAGCGUUGUUCGGAAUUACUGGGCGUAAAGGGCUCGUAGGCGGCCAACUAAGUCAUACGUGAAAUCCCUCAGCUUAACUGGGGAACUGCGUGUGAUACUGGAUGGCUUGGAUUUGGGAGAGGGAUGCGGGAUUCCAGGUGUAGCGGUGAAAUGCGUAGAUAUCUGGAGGAACACCGGUGGCGAAGGCGGCAUCCUGGACCAAUAUUGACGCUGAGGAGCGAAAGCUAGGGGAGCAAACGGG